UACGUAGGGUGCAAGCGUUAAUCGGAAUUACUGGGCGUAAAGCGUGCGCAGGCGGUCGUGCAAGACAGAUGUGAAAUCCCCGGGCUUAACCUGGGAACUGCAUUUGUGACUGCACGGCUGGAGUGCGGCAGAGGGGGAUGGAAUUCCGCGUGUAGCAGUGAAAAUGCGUAGAUAUGCGGAGGAACACCGAUGGCGAAGGCAAUCCCCUGGGCCUGCACUGACGCUCAUGCACGAAAGCGUGGGGAGCAAACAGG
rnacentral:rRNA from 1 species